GACAUUUUUGCAUGUCUUUGACCACAUCUCUAUUAGGCAGGGGAAAAGACAGUGGACGCAAUUAUACUAUUGAUUUCAGCUGCAUAAUCAUUGUGCCUGACUUCUAUGAACAGUUUCUGUGAACGUGCUGCUCUCUGGUGCAACCAGUCUGCAAAGAAUGCAUAUCCAUUUCUCAUGGCCUCAUCCAACAACAUCAAGGUUCCAACUUCUGUUGGAGCAGGAACAAUGUAGUUACUAAAUCAUCUCAUGAGUAAGGAGGAGGAGGGAAACUCCAGCAUGACGACACUGUCAGAAUCUGUGUUUUUAAUAGUGAUAAUUAACUAACAUACACAAACUAACUGAGAGAAAGCUGAGGAGAAACCAGGGAGCCAGCUUCCUUUCAUACUACAUCAUACUACAGUAAUCCCUGAAUAUGCAAAUGCAGCUGAAGCACAAGACAAUGAGCUUAAAACCAACUUGUGAAGAUAUAGAGGUCCUUAAAGAGGAAACAAAUAAACUCCUUAAAGAAAUCCAGGAAAACACAAGCAAACGGGUGAAAAAAAAGAAAUAAAAUUGUGCAAAGACAUGAAAAUAGCAAUAAAACAAUAAGAAAACAAACCAAUGGAGUUCUGGAAAUGGAAACUCUAGGUAAGUAAACAGGAAUUACAAACACAAGCAACACCGACAACCAACGGAAUGCCAAAGAUGGAUGACAGAAUCUUUGGUAUUGAGGAAACAAUAAAAGGAAAUAGAUGCAUAAGCCAAAGAAAAUGUUAGAUCUAAAAAGCUCCUGACAAAACAUCUAGGAAGUCUGGGACACUAUGAAAAGACCAAGCCUAUGAACAAUAGGAAUAGAAGAAAGAGAAGACUCAUAGUUCAUAAGCCCAGAAAGAUUUUGUAACAAAUCAUGAACAAAAUUUUCCUAACAUAAAGAAGGACAUGCCUAUACAGUAAAAGACUUAGCUUACUGGACACCAAAUAGAUUGGACCAAAAAGGAAUGUCACCUCACCACAUAAUAAUCAAAGCACUAAACAUAAACAACAAAGAAAGAAUAUUAAAAGCUUCAAAGAAAAAGGCUAAGUAACAUAAGAAGACAGAGUUAUUAGAAUUACACUCAACUGCCCAACCAAGACUCUAAAAGCCAAAAGGGCCUAGACAGAUGUCUUGCAGACUCCAGAUGUCUUGCAGACUCUAGAAGACCACAGAUGCCAUCCCAGACUACAAUAUUCAGCAAAACUUUCAAUCCUCAUAGAUGGGAAAAACAAGAUUUUCUAUGACAAUAUCAAAUUUAAACUAUCUAUCCAUAGACCCAGCCCUACAGAAGGUACUAGAAGGAAAGCUCCAAUACAAGGAGGUUAAUUAAACCAUGAAAACACAGGAAAUAAAUAAUCUCACGCCAGCAAAGCCAAAAUAAGGGAAACACACACACACACACACACACACACACACACCAACA